UUUUUGCAAAAGGAACCACCACCAUGUAUUGAGUGCACAUACUGUACAGUACAUGGACAAUUUUCAGUAGGUCAACAUUUCUGUAUAAAAAUGAUCUU